rnacentral:lncRNA from 1 species
GCCUUGGCGACUCGCGCGGCGCCCGCUCGUUAAGCGCCGAAAAGGAGGAUUUCUGUUCCUCCUUGAGGAGGAGGAGGAGGCUCGACUCGUGGCGGCAACGGCCACGGGACGGCUGUCCCUGCGGGAGCCCCGACCUUGCGGGCAGAUGCUCCGUGCCCACCAGCCAACACCGGCCCUGCGGCACAGCGGCCGCCUUCCCGCUCCUCGUCCGGCGGCACGGGCGCGCGACCAAGCCGGCCCCUCCGGCUGCCUCCGAAUCGCACAUGGCUGCGCUUCCUCCAGGUGAAGCUCUCGACGUGGCUUUUGCCUUAAUUAAAGCUUCGCGUUUCAGUUUCCCCUAAUGCAGCUGAGUGACUCGCGGUGCUCAGGCGUGGAGCCUGCUGGAGGCAACAACGAGCGCCAGGAGCGCCGGAGAGAUCGGGAGAGCAGCCCUGCAGAGGGAAAGCCUGUCCGUCGGUCCGUCGCUAUUAGCAUUUACGUGCUGCCGAAGGCGCUCUUUGAGCAGUUAGUGCAAAUAAAGGCUCCGGAGGAGCUUCCCGAAAAGCGAGCGUGGAGGCGGCGGCUCGUGCGAUCGCUUCUGCUGCUGUUUGCUCCCCGCUUGCCGGCGCCGUGCGGYGGCUGGGUUGCGGAAGAUGCGCUCGUCGGGGGCCAACGUGCGGCCAGCGGGGUCGCGACUCGUUGCAGGCGUCCGCGGUUUGGACGGGCGAGUUGUCCCCGCGGAAAGGAGCUCCUUGCGCGCCCCGGACGUCGGAGCCGCGUGGCUCUGGGUCCAGGCCGCCGCGAUGAACGCGUCCAGCAGAGAGGGGCUCUGCGCACCCAGAAACGUUCGGGGCUCGUGGAAAGGGAGACCUGCUCCAGGGGCAGCAGGCACCGCGACCCUGGUGGGGUGGGAGAGCUGCGGGAUGAGGCCGGCCGGAGAGGUGCUCGGAGGCAGCCUGGGGCUCGCCGAGCGCUCCUGCCGCGACUCUUACGGUGCGAGCUGCCUGCUCUUCCGUCCAAAAUCCAGCCGCCUUGCGGAGGCUUUUUCCCCCCCCACCCCGGGUGCGGGUACCANNNNNNNNNNNNNNNNNNNNNNNNNNNNNNNNNNNNNNN